GACGAACGCUGGCGGCGUGCCUAACACAUGCAAGUCGAGCGGAGGUAUUCAAGGAGCAAUCUGCGGAUACUUUAGCGGCGGACGGGUGAGUAACGCGUGAGCAACCUGCCUUUCACAGGGGGAUAAGGCGGCGAAAGCCGCUCUAAUACCGCAUGAGACCCCGGUGGUGAUACCACAGUGGUCAAAGGAGCAAUCCGGUGAGAGAUGGGCUCGCGUCCGAUUAGGUAGUUGGUGGGGUAAAGGCUCACCAAGCCAAUGAUCGGUAGCCGGCCUGAGAGGGUGAACGGCCACAUUGGAACUGAGAGACGGUCCAAACUCCUACGGGAGGCAGCAGUGAGGAAUAUUGGACAAGGGGCGAAAGCCUGAUCCAACCAUGCCGCGUGAGUGAUGAAGGCCUUCGGGUUGUAAAGCUCUUUCGACGGGGAAGAUAAUGACCGUACCCGUAGAAGAAGCCACGGCUAAAUUCGUG
rnacentral:rRNA from 1 species